rnacentral:rRNA from 1 species
GACGAACGCUGGCGGCGUGCCUAACACAUGCAAGUCGAACGGAGUGUUUAUUUAUAAACACUUAGUGGCGAACGGGUGAGUAACGCGUAGACAACCUACCCUCUAGAUGGGGACAUCACCGCGAAAGUGGUGCUAAUACCGAAUGUUGUAAUGUUAUUGCAUAAUGAUAUUACUAAAGGUGGCCUCUAUAUAAAAGCUACCGCUAGAAGAUGGGUCUGCGUCUGAUUAGCUAGUUGGUGAGAUAACAGCUCACCAAGGCAAUGAUCAGUAGCCGGUCUGAGAGGAUGAACGGCCACACUGGGACUGAGACACGGCCCAGACUCCUACGGGAGGCAGCAGUGGGGAAUCUUCCGCAAUGGACGAAAGUCUGACGGAGCAACGCCGCGUGAGUGAAGAAGGUUCUCGGAUCGUAAAGCUCUGUCUUCAAGGACGAAUGUAGAUAUUGUGAAUAAUGAUAUUUAAUGACGGUACUUGAGGAGGAAGCCACGGCUAACUACGUGCCAGCCGCCGCAGUAAGAC